AUAUUGCACAAUGGGGGCAACCCUGAUCCAGCCAUGCCGCGUGUGUUUAGACGGUCUCCGGAUUGUAAAGCACUUUAAGUGGGGCGGACUGGCGUCAGGUUAGUACCCUGAAGUUUUGACGUUACCAACAGACUAAGCACCGGCUAACUCUGUGCCAGCCGCCGCGGUAAUACAGAGGGGGCAAGCGUUAAUCGGAAUUACUGGGCGUAAAGCGCGCGUAGGUGGUUCAGUAAGAUGGGUGUGAAAUCCCCGGGCGUAACCUGGGAACUGCUUUCAUAACUGCUGAGCUAGAGUACGGUAGAGGGUAGUGGAAUUUCCUGUGUAGCGGUGAAAUGCGUAGAUAUAGGAAGGAACACCAGUGGCGAAGGCGACUACCUGGACUGAUACUGACACUGAGGUGCGAAAGCGUGGGGAGCAAA
rnacentral:rRNA from 1 species